GGUGGCUCAGUGUUAAAGCGCUUGCCUUGCAUGCAUGAGGCCCUGGGUUCAAUUCCUCAGCACCA
rnacentral:tRNA from 1 species